rnacentral:rRNA from 1 species
UACGUAGGUGACUAGCGUUGUCCGGAUUUACUGGGCGUAAAGAGCGCGCAGGCGGUCGUUCAAGUCGAGUGUGAAAGCCCCCCGGCUCAACUGGGGAGGGUCACUUGAUACUGAUCGACUCGAAGGCAGGAGAGGGAAGCGGAAUUCCCGGUGUAGUGGUGAAAUGCGUAGAUAUCGGGAGGAACACCAGUGGCGAAGGCGGCUUCCUGGCCUGUUCUUGACGCUGAGGAGCGAAAGCGUGGGGAGCGAAACAGG